rnacentral:rRNA from 1 species
AGAGAGAGACAUGCGCGCAUAUCAAUAAGCGGAGGAAAAGAAACUAACAAGGAUUCCCCUAGUAACGGCGAGUGAAGCGGGAAGAGCUCAAAUUUGAAAUCUUGAAGGGUUUCCCUUUACGAAUUGUAGUUUAAAGAAGUGUUUUCUGUUGAGGUUUUGGUAAAAGUUCUUUGGAAUAGGACAUCAUAGAGGGUGAGAAUCCCGUAUUUGACCUUUACUUUCAACUUUGUGAUACACUUUCAAAGAGUCGGAUUGUUUGGGAAUGCAGUCCAAAAUGGGUGGUAAAUUUCAUCUAAAGCUAAAUAUUGGCGAGAGACCGAUAGCGAACAAGUACCGUGAGGGAAAGAUGAAAAGAACUUUGAAAGAGAGUUAAACAGUACGUGAAAUUGUCAAAAGGGAAGCGUUAGACACCAGUGUUGUUUUUCUGAAAAUCAAUUAAAGAACUGUUUAUGCUAAGCUGUUUAGACUUUAUCAGCUAACUGUUUAGUUUUGAGCUUUUCUUUAAUGCACUUUUCAGUUAACAAGUCAACAUCAAUUUCUUUUGCUGUAAAAAAGCUUGAGGAAGGUGGCUUGAGAUUCGUCUUAAGUGUUUAUAGCCUCUUGCCUAUGCAGUCGGAGAGAUUGAGGUCUGCAGCGUAGAUCCUUCGGGGCUAAAUGCAUUUGUGCUAAGUUAUAGCAUUUUAUAGACAACUUGUUGACUAUGAUUUGUCUUGUAGCUUACUCGCUUAUGUUAUUUUACCUACGCUUAGGAUGUUGAGCGCAUGUCUCUCUCU